rnacentral:misc_RNA from 1 species
UGGCUCUCGCAUCGAUGAAGAACGCAGCGAAAUGCGAUAAGUAAUGUGAAUUGCAGAAUUCAGUGAAUCAUCGAAUCUUUGAACGCACCUUGCGCUCCUUGGUAUUCCGAGGAGCAUGCCUGUUUGAGUGUCAUGUAUACCUCAGCAAUCCUCUGAUUUUUGUCAGUAGGAAAGCUGGACUUGGAGGCUGCUGGUCUUUCUGAGAUCAGCUCUUCUUAAAUGUAUCAGUGUGGAUGCUAUCAAGCAUUUCUCUGAUGUAAUAAUUCUUUGCAUCGUUGAAGUUUUGGUAUAUAAAAUCAUCCGUGCUUACAACCGUCCUUGCGGACAAUACUCUUUGCAUUUGACCUCAAAUCAGGUAGGAUUACCCGCUGA